rnacentral:snoRNA from 1 species
AUCAAAUGAUGAUACAGAAAUAUUCACAUGCUAGACUAAUGAAUUUUUAUGAUUCUACUUAAAAUCUGAGUUU